AGAGGAAUUAUUUAUAAAAUAAUUGUUAAAGGUUCAGAUAAGAACUAGAAGAAAUCAUUAAAAGGUGAAUUCUUCUGUUUCAACAACAACUAUGGUGUCUCUCGCCUCGCAUAUAUUAUUUUUCAGUGGAUGUACCAUAGUUAUAAAUGGACAAUACGUAGGCCGUCCAAGAGUACCAGAUAAAUGUGCUGCUGCACAAAUACAAGAUAUGCGGAAACCUUAUUUGGUUAAUUGUCAUUUAAUUUUUAUGCUAGUAAUUUUUAUUAAUAUCAACCCACAGUUGAGAAACCUGGCCAGUGUCCACGUCAGACUGGAUUUGGAAUCUGUGUAAGCUUGUGUACAGGCGAUUCAAGCUGUCCAGGGGACCAGAAAUGCUGUAGUAAUGGGUGUGGUCAUAGAUGUAUGUCGCCGGUAAGCGGAGGAAGAUCAUGCUCCUAUAAAGGUGAAAUGCGAAUGGACGGUGAAACAUUUAAAGAUAUGUGCAAUGAAUGCACGUGUAAUGAUGGUCAUGUUUCCUGUACGAAGAAGGCUUGUGAAGAAAACUGAUCACUUACAUGAAAUGCUGUAUCUUUACGUACUUGGAAUUGAAAAGGAAGACGAAUUUAGAUGGGUGAAACCAGAUACGUGAUGAACAGAUAUGUUACAGAGAUCUUAAAUUCAGAAUGUCACAUGAUUCUGCGUUUUAGAAAUGCAUAAGUGAUAGAAUUAAUAUAUAAUAUAAAAGGUAUGUAAUAAAUGUUUCAGAAACGAGGAGUACAACUCAAACAAAUUGUUACAAUCUGAGUCUGAUCUUUGUGAGA